rnacentral:rRNA from 1 species
UACGUAGGGCGCAAGCGUUAUCCGGAAUUAUUGGGCGUAAAGAGCUCGUAGGCGGUCUGUCACGUCGGCUGUGAAAUCCCGAGGCUCAACCUCGGGUCUGCAGUCGAUACGGGCAAACUAGAGUAUUGCAGGGGAGACUGGAAUUCCUGGUGUAGCGGUGAAAUGCGCAGAUAUCGGGAGGAACACCGGUGGCGAAGGCGGUUCUCUGGGCCUGUACUGACGCUGAGGAGCGAAAGCGUGGGGAGCGAACAGG